CUAUACCUUGUGUAUCAAACACAAAUAAGACACAGCCCUGCCUGGAGAGGAUUAAAAUCUCAUCAGAAAAAUGCAAGUGUGAGGCAUUCUAUAGAGAGCCAUGCCCACAGGAGGCUGUAUAAGCAUUAAGUCAAGUUCUGAAUGGCCUUCCAUGCCUUCUUAGUCUUUCCAGUGCUUAGGAAAGAAGAUCCCCAAUGAGCAUCAUCUGAUCAGAUCUGUGAGCUUUCCCUGAAUGUGCUCGAUGGCACAGGCACGCAUCUGCCACUCGGAGAAAAUCAAGAAGGGUGGAUGGAAAGCGAUGCUUGUGAUCGGCAUCUCCGUAAGGGCCAUAGGUGAUGUCACAUCUGUCAGGUGGGAUGAAGCUUUGUCUGAAAGGAAUGAAUGGUCUCAUCGUCCAUCACUGAAAGGUAUGAGUCCUGGGAUAAGAUAGGGUAGCAUAGGAGGUGGGCCUUAGACCAGGGUAACAGAGAGAAAAGUACUGGACCUAUGAUUGGGACUUCAGGUUCGCCAGAUACUAAAGUACUGAGAACCUCUUAUGGCGGCAAAGUGGACUGCCAUAUGGAGCUAGUGCCAAGUUGAGAAAGAAAGCAUGGCAAGUAAAAAACUGGGCAUUUUUCCUUUGGUGGACCUUUUGUUCCUAGUAUCACAAGACUCUUCCAUUAUUUUUCAUAGCUAGUUUUGAUGUGGGAAUUAAGAUAUUUACAUGGAAAAAAGUAUUAAGCUGGAUGCCGCCAUCCAAGGCAAGAGCGACAACAGUGAGAAUGGUCGUCAAUAGAGGAUUAUGGACAUCAACCCCUCCAGCAUCUCAUUGAGGCACAGGAGAAGGAUGCCAGACAUUAGUUCCUGAAUACAGUGGCAGGCACCCUUCAAAGGCAAUUAAUUUCUAGCAGUAAAUCAAAGCACUUGCUCCCUUAUUCAGUUCUUGUUUAAGAAAAUCCAGGGGAAGAUGUUAGUUGGUUUGGCUUGCUUUGGAUAGAGUCCAUUCCUGGACCAAUCAACUUUGACCAUGUAAGAAAAAGGACAUCUCAAAUGAAAGCAGUGGCAUUUCAGAAAGAGAAAAAAGAACUGGGCAUGAAUCCAGGAGAAGUCUACUAGAGCCAUGGGGUCAAGAUCUACUUCUAUUGGGGGAUUUUCUAGCAGAGUCAGUUCUUGCUAUGUUAAACAAGACAGUAUCUUUUAUCAUAAUAGCUCUUUAAGGAUACUCAUCAAUACAAAAAUAAGAAAAAAUUUCUGGGUUAAUACACCAGUUUUCCUAGAGUGGAUUACAAAAAGAUAAAAAAUUUGUGAAAAAUGUGCUUACUUUUUUUCAAGGAAUCACAGCAUUUUGUUGGACAAAUGGACAAUGAAAAUCUUAAGAAAAUAGACUUUUGUGAUCUAAGAACUUUUUAUAGUCAGACAAGUGGUGGGCUUAUUUUCUAAAUACACAGUUUUGAUACAUUUUAAAAAUAUGUCAGAUUCAAUUGCUUAAGAUGUCUCUCUAAGUAUGCAUAUGGGUUGACAUUAUUAUUUAGCUAUUUGGAUGCUGAAUCAUUAUGCACCGAAAGGGGGAAAAAAAAGUCUGCUUUCUCUAACUUCCUGCAUAAAUUUCUGUAUCUACCACUAGAGGGCACAAAUAAGGCUGCUUUCUGGGGAAAAAGGUUUUGAAAAUGACAAAAUUCCAUAUUUGGAACAGUGACUGAGUUAAGACAUAAAGAUAUUGCAUGUUUUCUUUAAAUCUGAAAAGGAAAAUCAAAACAUACGCACAUUUAAACACAGACCAUUUUGUUCUGUUUUCUCUCCCCAAAAAAGUAUAUGUGAGGAGAAUAAGAAAUAAUGGUUCACAAAAAUUUAGACAUACAUAAAAUUAUUGAAGUGAAAUGGCUAUGAAAACAUAAACUAAGUUAAAAUUACUGCUACAGCAACAUGGCAAUAUUCCACAAAUUAACAAAAAUAUUCCUAUUUAUCUAACUCACACUGAACCUUUGGGAUAAUUCUCUCCUUAAAUCAACAAGCACAAUACAGUUCACAAAACUGAUUCUACAUCUUAUAAAUAUCAGGUAUACAUUGCAUCUCUUCUUAGCAAAUGUGGUACUGUGGUAAAAAUAGGGUAUGAUCUGGUAGCUGUCUUCACACAAUAAUGUGCUUGACUCAUGCUUGCAGAAUACCUCCGUCUUCAACAGCUGUUUUACUCCUUAAAAAAGAGGGGGGAAAAAACCCAACUUCACUAGAAAAAAAACAAAUAGUCCCCAACCUUGUCACCCUAGACAUAUGACAAGUACUAAUCACUAUGGUUAGAUUUGAUGUCUUGCUUGAUUUGUGUUUUCGGGGAUUUUACAAGGAAGAAUACUGUUAUAGAGCCACUGAUUCUGCUGGAAAUAAAACAAAACCAACAGAGCAAAGUUUGCUGAGAUGCCUUCAGGUGGAGAAAGGAAAAUGAGGGGCCCAGUGAUUUGACUUCAUGAUGAAAGUGAAAACACUGUAGCGAAUUAGGUAAGAGAUUUUCUCCCUGAUACAUUUCAAAUCACUAAUUUUCAAGAAUGUAUCCAAAUACAGAUUACCUUCAUUUUAUUGAAGUUUCUCUAAAACACAAAGUUUAAAUGUUAUAAACAAGGACUUACUGAUGUUCAUAAAAUUCCUCAGCUUGGUCUCUCCUAAUGUUGCCUUUUUUAAAAGCAUAUUUUAAACUACUUUUUUAAGGGUCCCAUUCCACAGGCUACAAAUCUGAUACCUUCUUCAACUGUAUUCCACUACUUGAACCCAGUUUCCUGCUCUGGAUUUUGUCACUUUCCUCCUGAUUCCAUCUUGAGAC
rnacentral:lncRNA from 1 species